GUCCCAGACUCCUACGGGAGGCAGCAGUGGGGAAUAUUGCACAAUGGGGGAAACCCUGAUGCAGCGACGCCGCGUGAGUGAAGAAGUAUUUCGGUAUGUAAAGCUCUAUCAGCAGGGAAGAAAAUGACGGUACCUGACCAAGAAGCCCCGGCUAACUACGUGCCAGCAGCCGCGGUAAUACGUAGGGGGCAAGCGUUAUCCGGAUUUACUGGGUGUAAAGGGAGCGUAGACGGUUGUGCAAGUCAGAAGUGAAAGCCCGGGGCGCAACCCCGCGGACUGCUUUUGAAACUGGCAGGCUGGAGUACAGGAGAGGUAAGCGGAAUUCCUAGUGUAGCGGUGAAAUGCGUAGAUAUUAGGAGGAACACCAGUGGCGAAGGCGGCUUACUGGACUGUAACUGACACUGAGGCACGAAAGCGUGGGGAGCAAACAGGAUUAGAUACCCUUGUAA
rnacentral:rRNA from 1 species